UGUCCCAAACACAGUUUGCCGAUGGUUUGCCAACCUAACCCCGACCAUCGGCAACGCGACGCUUUGCAGAUCAUUUGAAGACCCCAAAACCAAAAGCCAGCGCCUGCUUGCUUGCAACCUGAGCAGCGCGAGUUCUGUUUGAAAUUAUUUCAGUUGUCAAGGGAACGAACAAUUUCCGUUUACUUUACUAGACGUCGCAGUAGCCACCUCAAUCGUUUUUAGUUAGACGGCAUUGCCAUCAUUUCUGUUGAAAUGUAGGUUUCAGCAUUACAAGUCAGGCGUGAUUAAACAUUUAAUUAGGUUGCUGAAAUAAAUCUCUUUACCCGUCAUGCUGUGUCGAAGGACCUCAUCGAGUUUCUAAUCGAUAUCCGACCUCACUUUUCCUCACCGUUAGCAAGUUAGCUAACAUGUCAAUCGUACCCAGCAACCAGGCAUACUGCUCCCGUAAUCAAGUUUCCUGCUGGAGUGGGGCUGUUGAUUCUUGUCUAGCCCAUGAUGACUGAUUGAAAGGACAUUACAGGCUACGUCAAUUCACCACAAGUCAAAAUCAGAUCAACAGACAGGGACCUCAACCUUCUCUUGGGAAUAUGCCAGAUAUGCCAUAACAAGAAAAAAAUGGUGUUUUGCCCCUGCAGUUGUGAAGAGGAUGCUGUGUAGGUGGCAGCAUGAACGUGCCACACAGACAUUGGCUAAACUACUCGGCUUCUACACUUGCCCUCAGAGUUCACAUAUGGUUAAGUGCACAGGUGUCCAUCCAGGUUCAUGCUGAUGCUGGUAACAAGAGGAACACAUGCUGAUUGGAAUGAUUCAACGAUGGACACUUUGCUUAAUUGUGGAAAAAAUAAAUGGAAAAACGUCUAUGAUUUCUUGUGUUUUCAUUGGUGAGGCAUAUGGGAUAAGCACUGAUCAGGAAGACCUCAAAUAAGGCGGAAUUCCACUGCAGCGGUGAGAACAUUCAGACGUCUUUUUUGUUUAUGGAAAGAGCUGAUUUUCUAGCAUGCUAGGUUCAUAACUGCAACCUAAAAUCAGCUGUUCCUCGAGACGUCAGGAUGCUUUCCUCGCGCAGAUGGGGUACGUCGAGUAGGUCGUAAUUAAAUCGGGUAAAUGUUGGCUCAUGGGUGGAUAUAAGGCGGUUAAACGUCGGCGAGAUGCAUGUAAAUAAAUGCAUCGGCAAGAUGUCUUUGAAAGAGCGGCAGCUCAUCGGCCAGAUGCUGGGCAGACGUCGGGAUAGCCAAUGCAUCGGUAAAACGUAGGCAUUCCAUCGGACGCCGCUCUUUUGCCGCACGUCUGCCCAACAUC